rnacentral:rRNA from 1 species
UACGUAGGGAGCAAGCGUUGUCCGGAAUCAUUGGCGUAAAGCGCGCGUAGGCGGCCCUGUAAGUCCGUUGUGAAAGUCAAAGGCUCAACCUUUGAAAGCCGAUGGAUACUGCAGGGCUAGAGUCCGGAAGAGGCGAGUGGAAUUCCUGGUGUAGCGGUGGAGUGCGCAGAUAUCAGGAGGAACACCAAUAGCGAAGGCAGCUCGCUGGGACGGUACUGACGCUAAGGCGCGAAAGCGUGGGAGCGAACGAGGAAUUGAG